GACUUCAUAAUUUUCCAUUAAACAGUUCAGAGAUAUCUACGUGAUCGUAAUGGAUUUGUCAUUUCCUUGAAGAACACGUCAUUUUGAACUAAUAAUAAAUUAAAAUUUAUUAAUGAAAGCUCAAUCAAUUUGCUGUCUGGUACAAGGGCCUCCUGCUGCUGAUAUCGAUACAUGUACCUGGCUAUAUGCAAAAGCAUUUAUCAAUCGAAUGGCCUGCGGACAGCGUUGAUGACAAGGGCAAUAAUAAAGAGGCCGCUCUUUGUAGUCGAUAUUGAAAGUGACCACACACGCAGCCCGCUCCGCAUGUUAUUUACAGUUAAUUGCUGCUGGCGGCGAAUGAAUGUUAAAUUACAUUGAUAGUUCCAUCAGCCGCAGAAGUAAUUUUUUUUCAUUUUUUUCCAGAGCCCGCUUUUGUUUAUUUACUCGCCGGCGAUAUUGUUGUUUCUGCGGUUUCGCUUUCAUUGCGGCCAGAGGAGAGUAAAUGGAAAAUAAAUUGAAACUGGCAUUUAAUUAAGUUAAACCGCCGGGUCGAUGGCAAUUUAUUAAAAUAAACACAGGAAUAUAUAUUGCAGCGGGCAACACUAAUUGCAAUGCUAUCUAAGCGCAAGGACGCGGGCAAACGCAGACCCGAAAAACUCAAAUCAAAUUCAAAUUCGAAUUCAAAGUUGCAACAUGGCAACAAAGUCAACGGUGUGGCAUGGAUUUGCGUUGCGGACUUUAUUAAUUAAGUGCAAACGUGGUCACUUACAAGCCGUUUAAACUGCGUGUUAGCCAACUUGAAAUGGCCCCGCUAAUGCGCCAACAGCAGGUUCAAAACUGAAGAGAAAAAAAAAUAAAAAAAUAGCACAAAAAAGCAUUAAAAAAACAUAAGAAACACCCAAAAAAAAAAAAAUUAUGGUGUACCUGGAAAAAUUGUCAACCCGGUCACAUAAAUUUUGCCAACGGCUGCAGUCGCCGUCGCCGUCACUUGUUUACGCUUUUCGGUAUCCCAUUUAAUGGGUUAACGCUAACACUCGGCUUUUGCAGUUGCAGUUGCAGUUGCAAC